GAUUUCUGGUUUGAUGCCCCUGACCCGCGCCUUUCGGGGUGUGAGUGUCGGUGUGGCGUCUACCAUCUUUGUGGAAACUUGCUCUGGGCCUUUACUGGUUCGGAGUUCUGGGUCCACAUCUUUUACUUUGAAAAAAUUAGAGUGUUUAAAGCAGGCGUUUGCUCUGAAUACAUUAGCAUGGAAUAAUAAUAUAGGACUUCGGUUCUAUUUUGUUGGUUUCUAGUACUGAAGUAAUGAUUGAUAGGGAUAGUUGGGGGUGCUAGUAUUCAGCGGCCAGAGGUGAAAUUCUUGGAUUCGCUGAAGACUAACUUAUGCGAAAGCAUU
rnacentral:rRNA from 1 species